rnacentral:rRNA from 1 species
GACGAACGCUGGCGGCGUGCUUAACACAUGCAAGUCGAACGGUGAACGAGGGAGCUUGCUCCCUCCGGAUCAGUGGCGAACGGGUGAGUAACACGUGAGCAAUCUGCCCCGAACUCUGGGAUAAGCGUUGGAAACGACGUCUAAUACCGGAUACGACGCGGGAGGGCAUCCUCUCCGCGUGGAAAGAACUUCGGUUCGGGAUGAGCUCGCGGCCUAUCAGCUUGUUGGUGAGGUAACGGCUCACCAAGGCGACGACGGGUAGCCGGCCUGCGAGGGUGACCGGCCACACUGGGACUGAGACACGGCCCAGACUCCUACGGGAGGCAGCAGUGGGGAAUAUUGCACAAUGGGCGCAAGCCUGAUGCAGCAACGCCGCGUGAGGGACGACGGCCUUCGGGUUGUAAACCUCUGUUAGCAGGGAAGAAGCGAAAGUGACGGUACCUGCAGAAAAAGCACCGGCUAACUACGUG